rnacentral:lncRNA from 1 species
AUUGUUCGAGUUCCCUUUUUUAUUUUACUGGAAACUGGCUGUAAAAGUAGCCUCAUGAACAGAUUCUCGUCGGUGGUCGGAGCUACUUCUUGCCAUCUGACGACUAAAUCCGCAGCGUUCUGUUCUAUAGUUCUCUCAACUCGGAAUAUGGUGACCGUCUCCGGCACCGGAACCAGCCGGAUCUUGUAGGCGAGGACAACGCCAAAACUGGCUCCGCCUCCACCCUUAAUGGCCCAGAAAAGAUCCUCCCCCAUGGAUUUCGAAU